GUUUAAAUUCAGGAGGUCAGAGGAACGGUCUGUGAGUUAGAGGCUCACUGUAAGUCGGGUUAGAGGCCCGUUAAUGGUGUGUGAGUUAGAGGCUCACUGUAAGUCGGGUUAGAGGCCCGUUAAUCGUUCUGGGGUUGACUACCCUACGCCACUUCCCAACGGGGACGGUGGAGAGUUGCGAGUUAGAGUCUUGGCAACCAGUUAGAGGCCCGAGGACAUAGGGGCACCUCGAAAUACUUAUUGUGUGUAAAGGUUCAGCUGGGUUAGAGGCCCAGGGAGUUCGGAACUCCCUGAAUUUUUAUAAGAGAACUGGGUUCAAGUCCCAAAAAGUGUUGGGUCAGGGACCCGUUAAUCAUUUGUUAAUUAUUCUGAGUCUGGGACUCACAGUAACAUAAGUCAGGUUGAAAUGGACGGGCAGUUUGAGAGAGAACUGUUGAGAGAAGUGUUGAAUUGUUUGUUGUCAAGGAUAAGUGAGGAGUAGAGUAAAUUGUGUUUUUUUAGAGAAUUCCUGUCUGUUUGUAAGGAAGUGUGUGAAAGGAGACUCAUUGGGAGUGAUGUGCAUAGUGGAUAAAUUGACAGUAGAUGAAAGUGAUAUUUGCUCGAGUUCUAGAAAAGGGACGUCUGGAUAGAUUGGAAGAAGGGUUAAUGAAGAAAAUAGCCAGAUAGACAAAGAUUUAGUGGGAGAUGUGCCACGAGAAAGUAUUCAACAGUGGACAAAGGUUUUGGUAAAGUUUUGGUUAAUUAUUUGUGUAAACAUAGUUUUCUUUAAAGUGGUUUCAUUCAAUUGUUUGAAAAUAUUGUAAAGGUGGUCUGUUGGUUAAGUUUGAAUGAGUCCAGUUAAAGGAUAGUGAGAGGAGUCAAAUAGAUAAGACGGCUUUUGGCUGCCAUCCCAGAAAGUAGGGAGUAACUCUAAGCAUCCCAAUCCAGAACACAGAGACCCUCUAGGAGAGAGGUGCAAAAGAUGACAGACACACCAAUUGAGAUUCAGGGAAGUAGAUUCCCAAUAUUAAAAUAGAUUCAAAUAGAGCAAAAUCAGGUUCUAUAUUGUAAUAUUAAAAUGGCAAUUGCUUUCCCAUUCCAAUUGGAGAAUUCUGUGUACACGAAAUUGUAUGAAAAUUGAGCUCAUCUAAAUUAUGAAACACGACAAAGACAUGUCAAAUUAGAAUCAACUGGCCAGUGUUAAAUGUAAAGAAAAUGAGUGCAACAUUUAUGAAACAUUGGUAAAAUAGUAAUUCCCAAUUUAGGACAUUUAUAAGAGAUAGCCAUUAGAUUGGGGUUUAAAAUUGUUGAUUAACACAUAACUUUAAAUUCAGUAAGUUAAUGCUAAACUCUCCAGUCAAGGUUUUAACUUUGUGUUGUGCAAGAUUCCAUCUUUGUUUCUCACAGAGUAGGAGUCCUGAAUCCUGCAACCCUGAUACACCUUGUCCAAUAAAGGGGUACCUCACACAGAUGGCCCAGAUCAUUCUAAGGCCAAACCAAGCCCAGACCUUUGAGAGACUGCCUUGGGUUCAUAAUAAGAAUAUUGGACACUGAUGGUUCCAGCUGCACCACAGUCAAGGAGAGGGUGGAGGAAUGGAGAGACGCAUGCAGAACAAAGAGGCUCCUACAUCCAUGACUGUAACAGCCAGGAGCCAAUUAAGGAGGAGAAAAAGGGAGGAGAGAUAGAACCCCCAGCAUAUGAAGAUGACCUUGUGCUUGGUACAGACCGGGCACCAUUAUAUCCAGUGUUACGUUUAGAGAGUGGGAUAUUGUCUUUAGACACACAGAACAGCAGGCCCAUAACUCAAUUCACAGGAAAGCAAGAUAAGAGAAAGUUGAGUAGGAAGGCGGAGUCAGAGAGCGAGACAGACGCUGAGGAGGAGGUGAAACCGUUCAAGGCAAGGGCAGUGAGAGAGUACGGGAGAUACGAGGAGAGGAGGCGACUAGAAGAUAAUAGACAGGAUGAAAUUACAGGGGCCAGAAAGAAAGAUCAGGCCGUACUAAAGGCAGGUUAGGUGAGGACUCAAGGUCGGGGUCGGACGAUAGUGACACAGUGAGAAGGACAAAAACUAGGCAGAAAAAGGGAAAUUCACAUAAAGGACGGGUGGUACUCACGGGGCAAGCAGUAGGGAGAUGGACUGACUCAGACGAAGACCCUGACGCAGACAUUAGCGGAGAUGGGAGUAAAGGAGACACAGACGUAUACUCUCUGCCGCGUACGCCCCCACCAGAACAUAAACUACACCAUGACGCAGUAGAAUCAAUUCAAAAGACUCAAAAUAAAAUGUAUACGCAGUCACAAGCAGGGGAAGCUGGUUGUGCUGGGUUUCAGCUGCCUCUCUUUAGAGUGGGAGGCAGCGAACCGCGAUAUAAACCAUUGGGACUGGGAGACGUACAGGCACUGGUAGAUAAAUUACCCCCGAUGGGAGAGGGAGGUGGACUAUGGUUGUCACAAUUUGAUAAACUCACAGCCGGUCAAAUGUUGGCACUGGGGGACUGGAGGGCAGUAGCCGCCCGAGCCGUGUCCGCCCAGGCUAUGACUGAGA
ensembl:lncRNA